CUCUGCCAAGGCGCCUAUGACAGCCUGUUGGCUUUUACCUGGUCUGCGAGAAAUCAAACUUUGGGCACAAGUCAUGAAGCCGACAAGCCCGGGAGACACAGUGUCAGAAUUACAAGGUGAGAUCAGCCGCCCGGCCAAGCUAUUUUCUCGCUAGCAGGUCCCGCAUCUGGGGCUCGAUCUCGUGCAGAGGAGCAUUUCCGAAGACACUGGCCGCUCCCACAAUGGCUCCGAAGACCCCAGCGACCAGCGGGUUCAUGAGUUUGUUGGGGUUGUCCCCUCGGUACCAGCUGCGCAGGGAUGUCAGGACAAAGAAACGAGUUGCCUGGUUCCAGCCCUGCUUUAGCACGGGGCCUGUGGGGUCCCCGUAAGUCCCGGUGUUCCCGCACAAUCUCCUAACCCUGUGGAAGAAUCCCCUGUACUUGGAUUUGGAGAGGUCUGACCAUGGAUUAACUUCACCUUGAUGGUCUCCAUGGGACAUAGGACCACCACGGCCUCGGCCACGCUAGCUCACUGGCCGCACCGCUGCCCGCCUUUCUGUUCACCAGUCCCUGGGCAUCCCGCAUGUGGUUGCUGAGGAACGCCUCACGCCGCCUUGUGGAUGAAGCCGCAGAGCAGGGAGCUGAGGCUGCGGCCCAGGCCCAGGAUGCCUUGGCUGCGACUGUGUGCCUGCAGGCCCCAUGCCCGGUAUCCGGUGGAUGCGAGUGCUAGUCCAGCUGCAGCUGCAUCUUCACGAACUCGGUGGGGAAUGGGAUGCAGAUUUUUUUUUUCUUUUCCUUCCUUCCUUCCUCUUUCUUUCUUCUUUUUUUUUUUUUUUUUGGACAGAAUUUUGCUCUUGUCCCCCAGGCUGGAGUGCAGUGGCGCGAUCUUGGCUCACUACAACCUGGAUUCAAGCGAUUCUCCUGCCUCAGCCUCCCGAGUAGCUGGGAUUACAGGCAUGUGCCACCACUCCCGGCUAAUUUUUUUGUAUUUUUAGUAGAGACGGCGUUGCCCCAUGUUGGUCAGGCUGGUCUCGAACGCCUGACUCAGAUGAUCCGCCCGUCUCGGCCACCCAAAGUGCUGAGAUUAUAGGCAUGAACCACCGCGCCCGGCCCUGUGAUGUAGAUUUUGAUGCCGCCAGCCAGGCUGCCUGCCGGGAUCGCCUGCCCUGGAGCGGGAGCAUCAGCCGGGCCUUCCGGGACGCAGGCAUGGCAUGACCGGCAGGAGGCGGAGUGCCCGGCGUCUCCUGGGAUCGGAGCCUCCUGAACUCCACGCUGGGACCUUAAUUUGGUUUUAACACAACUAAAGAUCUCACAUAAAGAUAAAA
rnacentral:lncRNA from 1 species